rnacentral:rRNA from 1 species
UGACUGAGUGGCAAACGGGUGAGUAACACGUGGGUGACCUGCCUCUGAGUGGGGGAUAACGUUUCGAAAGGAACGCUAAUACCGCAUGACAUCCUGCCUUUGGACAGGCGGAGAUCAAAGCCGGGGAUCGCAAGACCUGGCGCUUGGAGAGGGGCCCGCGUCCGAUUAGCUAGUUGGUGAGGUAACGGCUCACCAAGGCGACGAUCGGUAUCCGGCCUGAGAGGGCGGACGGACACACUGGGACUGAGACACGGCCCAGACUCCUACGGGAGGCAGCAGUGGGGAAUUGUUCGCAAUGGGCGCAAGCCUGACGACGCAACGCCGCGUGGAGGAUGAAGGUCUUCGGAUUGUAAACUCCUGUUGAUCGGGACGAACAACCAUCGGGAUAACACCCCGGAGGUCUGACGGUACCGAUUGAGGAAGCCCCGGCUAACU